AGAGUUUGAUCCUGGCUCAGAUUGAACGCUGGCGGUAUGCUUUACACAUGCAAGUCGAACGGAUCAAGAAGCUUGCUUUUUGGUUAGUGGCGAACGGGUGAGUAAUAUAUCGGAACAUAUCCGGAAGUGGGGGAUAACGUAGCGAAAGUUACGCUAAUACCGCAUAUGCCCUGAGGGGGAAAGGGGGGGAUCGCAAGACCUCUCGCUUUCGGAGUGGCCGAUAUCGGAUUAGCUAGAUGGUGAGGUAAAGGCUCACCAUGGCGACGAUCCGUAGCUGGUCUGAGAGGACGACCAGCCACACUGGAACUGAGACACGGUCCAGACUCCUACGGGAGGCAGCAGUGGGGAAUUUUGGACAAUGGGCGAAAGCCUGAUCCAGCCAUACCGCGUGAGUGAAGAAGGCCUUCGUUGUAAAGCUCUUUCAGCCGGAAAGAAAUCGC
rnacentral:rRNA from 1 species